GACCCGAUAGCACAAUGUAGUGCCUCUGCUUCGUUUGGGCUAUCAGAAUCUUGACGGCAGAAGUUCCCGGUUCGACUCCGGGUCGGGUCA